AGCAGCCUCUCAUCUCUCUCCCUCUUUAAUCGAUUACUCUCUACCUAGCAUCUCUCUCUCGGUAACCCGAAGCAACCAAACAAUGAAGCUCUAGUGCCAUGGAAUCCGGCGAAGGCAGUGUCUGGUCUCGGCGAGCAGUGGCAGCGACGGACAUCCUCUAUUCCGACGACCUCUGUAGAUCCAGCGUACUCCAUCAACGGUCAACAGGUCCUUCAGCUUGACAUGUGUGGGCAAGGCUUGCUUGAUCCUGUGUUCGGCAAAACCAUAGCUCGAUCUUCACAUGGUUUGUCGAAUUUGGGUAUUCUAUCACUAAGGGGUGCAUGUCGUUUAUCUGAUAGUGCAUUGACAUCACUAGUAACUUCACCACCUUUACUGUAGUAAAUAAAUUUGGGAUAGUGCUAUCUUCUCACACACAGCUACAUUGAAAUUAUCUCCAACUCACUAGGAGUACUUCUUAAGGAGCUCCACAUCAAUGAAUGCCAUAGCAUAGAUGCAAUGUGUAAUAUCCCUGCAUUGAAGAAGUUAAAAUGUUUAGAAGUGUUAUCAAUUGCAGGAAUUCAGACUCUAUGUGACCAGUUUGUUCCUACAUAUUAUGCGUGAGUUUAAUUUGUGUCAUCAUGUGUGCUCAACAAGUAGCUAAAGAAGCCAUGGUCAAGCCGAUUGCAAAUAAUCCAAGGCACUUUUGGCAGUUAUCAUGAGCAUACUUAAAAGCUGGAAGGAGUUGAUAAUAGUACUUCAAACCAUGAAAUAUUGUUAUUGUUAUUCAAUGCUAUACUUUUGUUUUUGACGAUGUAACAUUACACAAUGCUAUACUUUUGUUAUUGUUAUUGAAUUUGAAUUUUUAAUAUAAUA